rnacentral:rRNA from 1 species
GAUGAACGCUGGCGGCGUGCCUAAUACAUGCAAGUCGAGCGAACGGACGAGAAGCUUGCUUCUCUGAUGUUAGCGGCGGACGGGUGAGUAACACGUGGAUAACCUACCUAUAAGUCUGGGAUAACUUCGGAAAACCGGAGCUAAUACCGGAUAAUAUUUUGAACCGCAUGGUUCAAAAGUGAAAGACGGUCUUGCUGUCACUUAUAGAUGGAUCCGCGCUGCAUUAGCUAGUUGGUAAGGUAACGGCUUACCAAGGCAACGAUGCAUAGCCGACCUGAGAGGGUGAUCGGCCACACUGGAACUGAGACACGGUCCAGACUCCUACGGGAGGCAGCAGUGGGGAAUCUUCCGCAAUGGGCGAAAGCCUGACGGAGCAACGCCGCGUGAGUGAUGAAGGUCUUCGGAUCGUAAAACUCUGUUAUUAGGGAAGAACAUAUGUGUAAGUAACUGUGCACAUCUUGACGGUACCUAAUCAGAAAGCAACGGCUAACUACGUG